UGGGAAAGCCCCAUUCAUGUUCGGGAAUCCCGAGUUGACGAAUAUACUUUCAGAAAUAUGGCUACGACACGUUAAUAAGACUCUCUGUUUUCACAUAAUAUGUGAAGGAUUUUGCUGUAGUUUGUGGCCCAUACGAAGUGCUUUUUUGUUGUGCGUGGAAAGAGACAUUGAGAAACAAUUUAGCAACCUCCAAUAGACGCAGGUACG